rnacentral:lncRNA from 10 species
UGGACCACCACGUGGCGUCCUUGCUCGCUUCUGCUUCCUGACCACCCUGUCGUCAGGACCCCCGCCCCCCUGCCCUCCUUUUUCUACUUUCUUCUCUGCAGUCAACUAAAUAAUGGUUCUCCAAAGGUAUCACGUCCCUGGAACCUGGGAAUGUGACCUUAGGUAGAAAGAGGGACUUUGCAGAUGGGAUUAACGUGAGUACUCUGCAGUGGGGAGAAUGUCCUGGCUUAGCUAAGUGGGCCCUCAGUGCCAUCACAGGUGACCUUAUGAGGACGAGACAGACGGAGACUUGACUGACAGAAGAGGAGGACGGAGAGUAUCCACAGGGGCAGAGACUGGGGGAUGCGGGCACAGGCCAAGGAAGGCCAGCAGCGCCAGACGCUGAAGAGGCUGGGAAGGGUCCUGGCCUGGAGAAGGGAGCCCGGCCCGGCUGACUCCUGGACUUAGGCCGGGAAAGGUCCUGGCCGGGAGAAGGAAGCCCGGCCCGGCUGACUCCUGGACUUAGGCUCAGGGGUACCGAGUUUGGAUCUCUGGACCCCAGAGCUGUGAGAGAAUACGUUGCUGCUGUUUUCAGCCGCGCAUUGGUGGCUAUUUGUUACAGCAGCCACAGGCAGCUCGCACCCUCUCCACAGCAUGCUGUUCGACCACUGGAGACGGUGUCUUGCCUGCCUCUUUACCCUGUCGCCCUCUCUAGAAAGACAGUGACUGGGAAGAGGCUGGAAGCAGGCAGGGAGCUGGCGCUAGGCAGGGGCUCCGCAAGCCUGAGGCGGGGCCCCGGAUGCUCCUGGCUCUGCUCUGCCCACCGGGAGGCCUCCCACUCCUGCUCAUAGACUAAGAACAAAGGGCUCGGCGCUCUCCGCUCCGGAGCACGGUGGCCCUGAACACACCUGGCUCCCUCCUGGGAGGAAAGCCCGGCCAAUCACAGAAACCUGUGGUCAUCACAGACCCCCGAAGGCGUGCAGACAGCCGGAUCAGCAGGGUCCGGCACUGCAGACACCAACCCUAACCUCACCUGUCCCUCAGCAAAAACGAAGCCACCAUACAAUUCCAGCUACAUCCAGGGUGGCGCCUGGGAUUGGCAGGACCAGAGGCAGGAAAGAGAGGGAGCGACUCACGGCACUGUGGGGCUCUGCUUUCUCACUAUUUUAUUUAUUUAUGUUUUGACGGCUCUGAUUUUGCUGUACUUUCUCUUCCAGGUUUUUCUGCCCUUUCCCUAGAAAACUGCAGCUCUACUCCACAGACUGCUGUCUAUGCUGGCUGCAUUUUCCAUUGGCUGUCACGGGCCUUUCCCAUGCUGUUCUUCAAAACAUGCUUUUCUUUUUUUUUUGAGAUGGAGUGUCGCUCUGUCAUCCAGGCUGGAGUGCAGUGGUGCGAUCAUGGCUCACUGCAACCUCCGCCUCCCAGAUUCAAGCAAUUCUCCUGCCUCAGCCUCCUGAGUAGCUGGGAUUACAGGUGCCUGCCACCACGCCCCGCUAAUUUUUUUGUAUUUUUAGUAGAGAUGGGGUUUCACCAUAUUGGCCAGGCUGGUCUCGAACUCCUAUCCUUGUGAUCCACCCGCCUCAAUCUCCCAAAGUGCUGGGAUUACGGGCAUGAGCCACCGCCCCUAGACCUAAAACAUGACUUCUAAAGCCCUCCGCUCUGUGGCUGCAUCCUGGUUCAGUUUACGCAGCCUUUAUGUUGUGACUUUUUGGUUCCUUCCAGUAUCUGGGUCCCAGACACUGAAGUCAGAAGGAAGCUCAGGAGACA